rnacentral:rRNA from 14 species
UUUUUAAAGGCUGACUGCGUGCUUGUUGAAGAAAGAGCUGGCGACUUAGAAGGCGAGGCGUGGUUAAGAGAUAGAUGUCUCGAAGCCAAAGCGAAAGCAUGUCUGAAAAGGGCUUUUGUCUUUCCUUCUAGACCCGAACCUAAGUGACCUAUCUUUGGACAGGAUGCAACCCAGGUAAAACUCGGUGAAGGUCCGAAC